rnacentral:rRNA from 1 species
GACGGAGGGGGCUAGCGUUGUUCGGAAUGACUGGGCGUAAAGCGCGCGUAGGUUGUUCGGUAAGUUAGAUGUGAAAGCCCUGGGCUUAACCCAGGAAUUGCAUUUAAAACUGCUGAACUAGAGUGUGAUAGGGGAAUGUGGAAUUCCGAGUGUAGAGGUGAAAUUCGUAGAUAUUCGGAGGAACAUCUGAGGCGAAGGCG